GGGGUGUAGAAUGAAAAGGGAAUCGGGUGAAAAUCCCGAACAGUCCCGCUGCUGUAAGCUCCUGUAAAGGUGCCGAGAACACACGAAAGCCACUGAUUAUGACGAUUGGGAAGGCCUCGGUAACCGGAGUAAGUCAGAAGACCUGCCAUGCUUUUU
rnacentral:ncRNA from 1 species